CCCCUAGAUGUUCUGGGCCGCACGCGCGCUACACUGGACAGUUCAACAAGUCUUAACCUUGGCCGAUAGGUCUGGGUAAUCUUUGAACGCUGUUCGUGAUUGGGAUAGACCUUUGCAAUUAUGGGUCUUCAACGAGGAAUUCCUAGUAAACGCAAGUCAUCAGCUUGCAUUGAUUACGUCCCUGCCCUUUGUACACACCGCCCGUCGCACCUACCGAUUGAAUGGUCCGGUGAAAUCUCGGGACGGCGGCUCGGUCGCUUGCGUCCGACUGCUGAAACUUGAUUAAACCAUAUCAUUUAGAGGAAGGUGAAGUCGUAACA
rnacentral:rRNA from 1 species